CACUGCCACGUUUGCAGAGAUGCCACUGCUGACCGUAACUUAAGUUGGGUCACUCUAGGAAUUGGUCUGGAUAUUCGUUCCAAGUGAAUCCAUAAGAUCAUAGAUUCUGGAGAUGGAAGAGCCAUCAAGAGAGUCCUGACAAACUGUGUGGUGAUUGGAGAUAGAUAUCUGAGUCCCUGCCAGCAAAGAGAUUGAAGCAGGCAUCUUGGGGAGCUUUGGGCUCCUUGUCCCAGGGGGAACAUCAUGCAAGAAGAGGAGUCACCAUCCGGAUGAAGAUAAUUAUUUCUGAUACGGAGGAGAAAGUGCUCAGUAACGAGCUGGUGCCAGAAUUCAUCUAUCAAGGGAUUCUUCUGAUUUGGAAAGCUCACAUGUCAAGUCACUCUGAGUGGCAGGUCAUUUUGAAGCCCUGAAGGUGAUGGAAUUUUAAGACCAGGAAAGAAUCUCUUUUUGAGUCUUGGUCCAAAGGGGAAGAAUCCUGAAGUGACCCCUAGAAUUCUGGAGACUCUGGAAUGCAGACCAGCAGGAGACUGCCUUCCACUGACCAUAGUUUUCCGAGCCGCAGCUCUUCCUCGUGUUGUAUUAGAGACUCAGGAUGGAGCCUGAAAGCCUGGAGUAGAACUACAUUCUGGACGCCUUGUAUGAAACAACUGACUGAACCAGAGGUACAGAGUAAGUCUGUUUUGAGUCUGGAAGGGACCUUAUACCACUCUGUUUAAUGUCUAACCACUACCAAGACCUGGGAUCCCUCCAGUAUCAGGGGCUCGCUGCUUCUACGACUGCCUGUUCUCUGGAUGGCUUUGCUCACUGCAAUUUCUUUUCUUAUCUGAGUGCCAUUUGUCGCCGUGUAGAUUUAA